CCCUGGGCAUCCUCCAGACAACCUAAUGCCCCUCAAAGCUCUCAAAGCUACGGACAUUUCCCAUGACCCCAGCACACUGCCUUGUGAUGUGGCAGCAGCGAAAGGCACAGCGUGCAGCUGUAAACACGGGGCUGCUGCUGUUUACUUCAGCUCUGAACAGCAGCCACAAACAGGCCGGGAUGGAAAACUGCAUUGGCGUCACCAGGAAUGGAAGCGUCAGCAAAUGUCAGCUACUCCAAACAAAGCUGUCCUCACAAUGCCCGGCCUGCAGGGAAUGGGAUGGUGGCAGUGUGCUGGAGCUGGUGGGGCUGCCUGAGAAUGCAAUCACCAGACAGGAGAAGGCGUUUUGGAGCCAAAUUUGGCGCGGUGUUUUUCCAGAUGCUUCAUUCUUGGCAUCAGCGGUGGGGGAUUCCUGCUGAAUCAAACAUUCCUCAGGUGGGACUGGCACGUAGCACCUUGACGACCUCUUUGCCAGUCUUGUUUUGUGGCAGGCCGAUGCCACCAGCUGCGCAGGGCUCUUCUUACCAGCCUGGAUGCAGCAGUUGCAAAAAACACAACAGGUUUCUGAAGAACUGGGCCUGGCAUCUGUAAGUCAUGCAGAGGUGAAGGUGAUCACCAACACUGCAUGGCAAACCCCCCAGCACGGUUUGGCGGUGCCUUUCCCAGCCCUCAUUACUCAGCCCAAUUUUCUUGCAGCUGUGCCUCUUUUUCACAGCACUGUUUUCCUGCAGGAGGAGGUUUGUGCUGUGCAGUUCUUUGCCUUCUACCCGCUGCCCACUCUGUCUCCUUGGUUGCCGUCCAACUUCCAGCGAGUUCACGAUGCAAACUAAAACUGGCUGCUGAAACAACUUGCAAAUGCAAAUCUGCAUUUUCUGUCCAAGCUGUCGUCGUGUUUUCCCCCAGUGUGGGCAUCAGCAGCAAGCAGUAUGCACCAGCACCAAGCUGGGUGAGAGGUGGAGUCUCCACCCAUGGAGCAUGAAAUGAAUGUGGUACAAACUCCUUCCCACCGGCAUCUGGUGUCACGUCUCACCACGAGUGAGAAAUCCCAACUUCAGGAGAGGAAAUACUUUUUUUUUUUUUUGCCUGAUUCCUAAAGCACUAUUUGGAUCCUUAAAUGUGCGAGCUGAAAGUUUUCAUUCGACAUCCUUGGCUACUACUGAUGUGUGUGCAAUAGCCUCAUGUGAUGCAGCUCUUUAUCAGGAAGGAAUCCCAGCUGUAGUUCACUCACGCUGCAAUGCCAUCAGGCAGCCAAUGAGCUGAGGACAUUUGCCUCAUGACUCCGACUUUUGGUUUUGUUGUAACUCCAGAUUCAUUUCCAUUGAUGAACGAUGGCUCAUAAGGCACGGCAGUGCUUCCAGUAAUGAAAGGGAGAUCACAGCAGCUGCAUGGAAAGGGAAGUACUCUCCCAAUGACACCUUGUGCUGUUACAUGGCCAGGCUGCAGGAUAUUUCUUUCAGGCUGAAACAAGGAGAAAGUUGCAUCAAUGGCAGCAGGAUGAUUGGGACCCUCAGGGACCCUGAGCUGUGAAUGAGGCACAUGGAAAAAUGCCUUUUUCUUAAGAUUUCCCCAGUAUGGAAACGAUUUGUGUUUAAAGAGAUGAUGGUUGCAUGAUAAAUACCAGUGAAAUAUGUCCUUGCCCAUGGCAGGGGAUUUGAAACUACACCAUCUUUAAGGUCUCUUCCAACCCAAUCCAUCCUAUGAUUCCACAAAUACCAAAUAACUGUAGCAAAAAUGUCCAGGUGUUGGUCAGUACCUUGAAAGGGAACGGUGCAGAGCCACGUCCUUAGCCAGUGUAAUAACUGUACCCUGGCUAGAGGGUGAUAAAUGUGAUGAACUUCAAUGGGACUUCAUCAGCUCACAGCCACUGAAGCUGCGGUUGGUCACAUUUGGAAGCAAAUUGCAUGAAAAUGGUCGCAAUUAAUGUAAAUGGGAGUGAUGUUUUUACAGCAGGCCAGGGCUUUAGCUGUCACAUUAAUGGAACAUUAUGGAGAAAUUGCUCUGGGCUGCUUCAAAAAUGAGCCUGGGGCACUCAUGCUGCGUGGCAGAUGCCGGCCCUGUAGGUCCUGCCCCGUGAGCAGCCUCUAACAGCAGAAUUCUCCCCACCAGAGGUACCAGUGCUGAGCGAAGCACUGAGAUCUGUGCUGAGACAGACCAGCACUGCUCAGGGCUGGCUGGCACCGGCUGUCCCAGGAAUGCACUGUAUCACUGGGGUAAUUCCUCUUGCUGCCUGCACAUCCCUUCUCCUCGCUGUCCCACCUGAAGGUUUUCAGGCAGCCUCUCCUCACCGCUACCUCAUUCCCACAUGCAGAAUCUCUUUCCCUGAAUAGGAAUGCAAAGGCUCAGGGCCACAAGAGCUUCGGGAGUCACCCCUGGCAGAGACCAGCGUCGUCUCCUGGUGUUUUCCAGGGGUGAAGCUGUGCCAGCAGGCUGGGCUGCAGUCCUGUUGCUGCUCUUGGCACAAGUCGGUGCAGGAGCCCUGGUGCUUCCUUGCUCAGCUCCUCCAGGGUAGGGCAGGGCUGGGCUGGGAGCACAGUGGGAGCAGGAUGGCUGAUGUUCCUUGGGCUGCCAUGGCUUUUGUCAAAGGAGAGCGCUCAGAAAAUCAUUACUCCCGUGUUUUUUUUUAACCUGCUGUUAAGGAUGCAUUGAUUCUAGGAAAGUGCUGUUUCCUCCUUGAUAUAAAUCGUAAUGAAUAAUUCUCGGUAAAGGCAAUGGAUCAUCUCCUCUCCGCCUUUGGUUUAUUAAAUAUGUUCCUAUUAAAAGUUAUGAUCUCAUCUGCUUUCACUGUGUGUUAAAACCUGUUUCUACAGCUGUUCACAGAAAUAACCCCCAGCUAGCUCGUAUUUUCCCAUGCCUACCUUAUUCUAUUAUUAUUCUUAUUCUUUUAACAAGAAUAAAAUAAGACUGUGAAAUGGAAUGCAAGAAUGACACAGUACAGCCGAGAUUAAGUGCUACUCUGCUGAAUUUUGCCAAUGUUGGUUUCCUGGAGGACACUUUAGAGUUGAUUUUCUUGUUCUCUGCCCAUGCUGGUUACAGGGAUGAAACGUUUCUGCAAAUGCUGCUGUGGUUUCUUCUUCCCCGUUGUGCUGUUUCUAAUUGGGAUGCAUGCAAACAGUCCCUCCUGCUUCUGCUUAUCCCACCUGCAAACCCUCUAAAGCAGUGACCCUACUUUUUUUUCAGUUCUUCUCCCAGUCCUGCUUGGGCCAAGAGUUGCUGGUCCAGGGAAUGAGCAGGGAGAGAAUGGGGCCAAGAAUCUUACUGCAGAAGGAAUAAAGCCAAAGCCGCAAUGGAGGCUGUGUGCAGGGAGCAGAGGAUCCCCCAACCCCUAAAGCCUGCUGCAGCAGGAGGACAUGGUCCAGGAGCACCCAAACAUUGAUACAAACCUGCUGAUUGAAGCUCUGUGGGGCGGGAUGGGAGCUCAGGAGAAGCACAGGUUGUUGGUGAGAUGUGCCUGGAGCAAACACAUUGUGCUGGCUUCCUGUACUGCGCAACAGCAGUGGCUUUCUGGAGUGUGUGGCUGGAUGGAUGUCUUCCAAUGAGACCUUUCCCCCUUUGCCAUCUGGAAGCAUCCUGAUUUACUCUGCCUGGAAAAGAGAAACAGCUCCGAGCAGCUCCACUUGCUGGGGCCUUUUGGGGAACUGAAAGUUCAGCAUCCGAAGUUCAUCAUCCAUUCUGUACCUUCGUACCCCUUGUUCUCAUCUACUUUCCUUCCGUGCUGCUCAGGUCCUUCCUCCCAGCCAGAGCUGUGUGUGAAGAUCUGGGUGCAGCUCAGCCUGACUCACUGGGAGGCUGCUGGAUGCACUUUCUGCUAUGUCCUAGAUCCAGCACCGAGUUCUUGGAUAAGUGUGAAAAUCCCAGGCAAACAGGAUUUAAAAGUGGCCCAGGCUAUCAGAUCUGAGCUCACCACUCCAGAAUAGCUCAUCCAAAUACUUCACGUUUUCAAAGAAGCACCCUGCUGUCCAAAUAGCAGCAACACUUGGCCAGUCAAAACAGCCAUCUGGGAAAUGAGGCAUGUUUAUGGAGUUUAGAAGCAAACAAUAAAAAAGCACACAGCCUUUGUGCUUUGGUGGGAACUCCAGGUUAACAAGGGACAGGGACUGGGCACAGCGAGGUGCUGGGGCACAGAGGGAGGCAGUAGGAAGGGGUGAUGAAUGCAUCCCUGUGCACUGAGCUCAUGAGCUGUCUCUUGUCAGGUUUACUGUUAGUGAGCUGAGUGCUGCUGAUGUGCUCACAUCUGGGUGCACAGGCUAUCACUAAGAACAGAGCCUUCUGCCAUCCCAGAGGAUCAGCUGGGAAUGUUAAUGCUUCUGGCAGCUGUUUCUCAAUGUGACACGAGGAGCCCAGCACUCCCAAACAGAUCAUUCAACACCCCAAAUCCCCAUGGAACAGUGCAUACUGCAUCUGCCUGUUUAGGUGCAGUGCCAGGGGAUGGGAAUGGUUUUCUGCCUCGAGAUGCUGCCAUAUCUCCAGGUCUUGUGGGCCCAACCGUGCCUAUGGCUGUGGUCCUGAGCCUGCUGUUCUGCAGGCACCACAGCUCCAAGAACUGCUUGGAUCUUGAUUACAGUUAAACAUCAGCCUUACCUGUGCUAUUAAUGGGGUCUUUCUAGGAACUGGGCUGGUUGCCUUCCCAUCUGCAAAACCCUGUAGAGACAAGUCCAUCCCUGGAGCCAGGAGGGACCAAUGGCCAAACUGCCAGCCGCAGCUAUGCAGGUCACAGGUUGGGCUGGAGCAGUGUGAGAUUCCCUGUCCCAAGAGGUUGCAUCACAUCUGAAUCACCCAAGCGAGACAAAGAUGUCAUCAUCACCCCUCUGCUGCUCUGUGUGAAGCGAGGUGUGAGAAGAGUGAGUCACUGCCUUAUGCUUGCAGGGGAAAUCAAUGAUGAAAGCAGGAAUCCAGCUCUGGCCUGCAGCCAGGGGUGGUGUUUCAGAGCAGCAGACUUCCUACACUUGGCACUUGGCUCAGCACCCACAUGACUUGCAUGCCAUGGCAGCGUUUUGGAGAAGACAAGAAUAGGCAGAAGAGGAAGAAAAGCCACAAAACUUAAAAAAAAAAAACAAAACUACAAUGGGUGAUAAAUGAAUGAAAACGUUCCCAUUUUCAUCAAUGGAAUUAUCCCCAGUUUACACAAGAUAAAUCUGAUUUAAGAGCCGUGCCCCUGUUUGUGCCAGAUGAAUGGCCUUGCACAUCAGCAUGUGAGGCAAGUUGUAUUCACACCCCUAUCCAACCACAACAAAGAAGAAAAUUAUUUAUGAGGGCUAUUAACAUAAUUGAUUAGCUGAGGAACAGUUGCCACCAUACAGAAACAACACACACGUGUGUGAUUAGCAUCUUGCAGCUGAGCUCAGCAAGUAUUUGUGUGCCAGUUGUGAGGUAUUCAGACACCUCUGGCUCGUGUUAAUGUGAUUGAUGGAGUGUCUGAGCUGGCACGUAGAGUCAAACAAAACAGUAUGUUGGGUGGUUUUUAAUCUCAGCAAAAUUAAGAAGAUCUUGUGGCUGAUGAGGCAAGCUGUCUACAUCCUCAUGACUAGCCCUUUCUGCUUGCAAAAUGGUAUUACUGUAAAAGAGGGAAGAGAACACAAGGUACCAGCGUGGUGAACAAGGGAUGGACUGGAAAUAGCUGCUAGGACACAUAAAUCUGCCUCAAGUUCCUCCCCAGCAUGGAGGAAUGAGGCAGGGUGUCCCUACUGAGUUCAGCACUGAAUUUGGACAAUUUAGAGCACAAAAAUUGAGUGAGAGAGAAAUUGAGAGCUACAGGACUCCUGCGGCAGGGCUGGCUCAGGGAUGGCAUAAAUUAAUGAAGAGGCUGAACAUAAUUUUUCCAAGAAUCACAGAAUCUUUAAGGUUGGAAAGGACUCUAGGGUCAUCAAGUCCCACUAUCCAUCUACCACCAAUGCUGCCCACUGGCCACGUCCUCAGUGCCACAUCGCCACGAUUCUGGAACACCCCAAGGUGCACCAAGCUCCCUGGGCAGCUGUGCCACUCAUCACCACUCUUUUGGAGAAGUUUUCCUAAUAUCCAGCAUGAACUUCCCCUGGUACAGCCUGAGGCCAUCACUCAGAAGAAGUGGCUGUUGGGCAGCAGUGGGAAGCCAGAGGUAAAUAAUUAUUUGCUUACAUCUUCAAAACUGCAUCUGAGCCUUUCUGCAGCCCUUAGAGGACAGCCAGGAAAGUAAAGCAUCUUUAGAAGAGCAACCAUGUGAGCAAACAGCCUGAGCUGCACAGAGCUGCCCUGCGGAGCCCAAGCAGUGCAAGUGCCCUCUGAGCAGAGCCCCUGAAUGGUGAUGGAGACACAGCCACGCCAUGCCACGGAGCCAAAACGAGAGCAAAGAAACAAGAACCAGUGACAACAAGUGACUAAUUAGCCCAGGAGGAUGUUGCCUGAGUAAGCAGUCAGUCAUUUCAGGAUUCAGGGCGCCAAAGAGCCCUCUCUCAUGCGGUUAUGUUGAAGGUCACACUGCUGUGAUGUGCUGGGAAUCAGGCCCAAGGCAAGAGCCCAACCUCAGAUCCGCCGUCGCACAGGGCUUGUCGAAUUUCCCCUCUACCCAUUUGGUUAUUUCCUGAUUCAGCUUUGCCCCAUGUACCUAUUCUCUCUGAACUUGCAACCGGAGAAGCGAUGGGAAAUUUUACCGGGACCGCAAAGUAAUGAAGCAUCCCAGCAGGGACACUGCAGUGCUGCUUCUGGAGCCCUGCCUGCGGCCAUGCCACUGGGGUUGGUGCAUCAUCAGUACGGUGUUGGUGCCAUGGGAGGAUGGAGCUUCUGGCCUCGCAGCCAUCCUUUGUGCUCCACUCUGGAGGAAAUGUGAACUGGUUUGGUGACUGUCUGCUCUGAGGCAUCCUGGAGGUAAGAAUCAGGCUUUGAUUCUGCAGGAGGCUGCAAAGGCUGGAGGGCUCCUGUCACUUCCUUUGCUUUGGCAACUUGUGGGAAGAUUGGCAGUGGUUUGGGAGAAAUGUGGAGGGACUUUCGGGGCUGGCAUGGCUCUGAUCUAAAUAACUUUGCCAUUCACAAGCCAGGAGCAAGCACCAGUGCAAAACAAUGUGGGAAAUAACAGUCCUGUGUAGCUAGAACUGUGGAGUCAUAGAAUGGCUAGGGUUGGAAGAGACCUCAGAGAUCGUCCAUUUCCAAUCACUGUGCCAUGGGCAGGGUUGCCAAACACAAGUUAGGCACUGGAUCAUGCUUCCUGGGGUCCCAUCCAACCCAGCCUCAAGAGAUGGGGCAGCCACAACUUCUAUGGGCAACAGGUACUAUGGUGAAUCUGAGUCCAGAUUAAUUCGACAGGAGAGAGGAUGGCAGUGGGAGAGGUUCUCUUUGGUGAGGAGCAUCUCCCUGCCCUUUAGGGACUUGCUUGUCCUGUAUGGAACACCCAAUGUGGAGUUUCUCAGGAUGUCCCUCUUCAUUCGCCCCUGCUGAAGGUUCAGUUGUUCUCAGUGGGUUUGCUCACCAGCCCUUCCAGCCCCUCUGAAGGAAGCCCUGAUCCAGCCAUGUCAGCGGUGACAUUUCCAGCAGUGACAAUCCACUCCCCCUCCUGCUUUGAUCCAGCGCUUUGCUUACUUGGGAUUCAUUACUUUAAACGAGGUUUAAUUUAAUUUGCUUUAAGCACAAGCAGCAUAAGGCUGAUUAAAUCUGAUCACAGAGCACCACGCCAGCAGCUGUGGCCACUUAAUUCUAUCAGCCAGAGCCUGGCACCCUGCUCCCAGCCCGUGCAGAAUCUCACCUCCAUCUGCACUUCCACAGCUGCUGAAAGCACACAGCAAGGGACAGCCCGAGGACUUGUGCCCCUCCUGCUCCAUUAUCAGCUCUGAAAGGGCUCUUAGCAAAUCCUGCUCUCCUCAUUUCCACAGCAUUCUCUUUUGCUCAGGGAAUGCGUAGUAGAGCGAUGGAGAAUAAAUGGAAUGGUGAUGUCCUGGCAUGGAGACUUCUGUCAGCUGCUUAAAGUUGUUUGCAUUGGCAGUUAUUUCACUUGAAGCAUUUUGCAAUUUUUACAAAGCUCAGGAUUGCAAUUAUUUUGCCUGGCUGAUGGUAACACUCAGCACUAAUUAGAACCGGCCAAGCCAGUGUACUCAGUGCUUCUUGAAAUUUCAUAUUUAGGUCAAAAAAACGAUCAAUCAAAUUCUGCAUUUCUUUUCUUUUGAAGCCAAAGUGUUCCCAUUCAACACCUCUCAGUACAACAUGUACCAAAGUUGUGUUUAAAAAUGAGGCUGCAGCGUUAAAUUUAGAUACUUUUUGAUUUAAAAAAAAAAAAAAAAAGGACAGAAAGAUGAAUUCCCAUGAAAACAUGCAGUCAAACCUCUUCCCUCUCCUGCAGCCUCCCAGUUUCUAUUCUGUGUUUAGAAAAAUGAAAUGCUUAAAAUGACCCAGGGCUGCCUCCAGGGUAGGUCAUCUCCAAGGCUAGCUCGCCCUUGCUGAGGGCCUUCAGAAAGUUUGGUCUUCAUGAACAUUCAGUGAGUGCUGGUGAAUAACAACAGGAGGAGUUCAAUUCCACCCCUUUGCUUCAUAAGCGCUCCCAUGUCAGGCACCGUUAUGACAGAGUGCCUCUCUGCUGCCAUCUGUCACUCUGCAACAAAGUGGAAUGGAAUAUUAUCGGGAAGGUUCAGCCUCUGCUGCCAUCCCACCGGCGUCUGCAUCUGACAUCGUGGGCCAACGUGAUAAAACAGGAGGCAUUACUUUCAGAGCAGCCCUUGAAUUUCUGAAGAAGUUUUGCAGAUGUUGAUGGUCCCAAAUGUUCCCCAAGGAAAUGUUGCCCUCCCCGAGCACUCGGUACCAGCGUGUCCCUGUCCCCACACCAGGCUGUUUGCUAUUGCCCAGCAUCUCUUCCUCGUUCCACCCUGACCCUGUUACUCUCCGGCACGUCCCACAAAGCUGCAGUGAAGAAGCAUUCCACGGGACGGGCUUUGACUCAGUAUUAGUUGGCAAAACUCCCAGGGACAACAGCAAAACGUGCCCACGAGGAAACUUAGCAGGGGAAUCACACCAUAAGAUCAAUGGCUUGACGUGCCAAAGAGCUGAAGUCACCUCCCUUGCUGGCUCUCGAUCUGCAUGCAAUGAGGAAUGAACCAAGACAGCAGAACUUGGCUUUACCUGCUGUCUCUCCCAAGGGACAGGAAGCCAGCACUGUGCCAUGUGCUGUGGGGCUGGGCUGGCAGACCUUGGGGCUGAGCUCUUUCUGGGCUGGUGGGCACAAUGUGGUUGAUGGCUGGACGUCAUCAUCUCAGUGGUCUUUCCCAACCUUAACAGUUCCAUGAUUCUGUGUUUCUAUGAGAGGCUCAGCGCCUGCAGGCCCGUUACUGAGUGCACAGAAAAGACAAUUUUCAAGCUGUACGGAUGCUCUGCAUUAACUCCAUCCUUUUUCAGGUGCCUGAUGAGAGGCUGAUUCCCUGAGGACUCCCCCACUAAAUGUUUUUCUCUGUUUCCUCCCCGCUCCCUCUCCUUUCUCUUAUUUCUUUCCCCUCUCUCUGCAGACCCACACAUGUAGUAUCUUCCCCCCUGCGUUCUUUCUUGAUCUCCCCACUCCCAGCUGCACCAGUUCUUCAAUAGGUCUGGCAGACCGAUUUUUAUUGAUAUUAAUGGCUCUGGGUUCCUUUUAUUUCAGGGCUGGAUCUUUGCUUUUACCAACAAAAUUUAUCUCCAUCAGAAACAUUGACAGAUCAGGGCAUUUAUCCAGGCAUCUCUUACAAUUGCUUUUUCCUUUUUGUUCAAUGGCAACCAGUAGGUUUAUUGCUCAGAAAGAACAGUAAUGGAAUCAAUGCCCCGGUUAUAUUUUCAUUUUUUAUUAUUAAAAUCUUUUUGGAAGUAAUGUAUGAGCUGAGAUGAGCAUUGGGAGCAGAAGAAGGAGCUGCAGCUGCCCUCUGCAGCCUCUUGACUUAAUCAAAACAGUACAAUUUCAUUCCCAAGAAACAACCACAGCAUUUACUUCUUUCCCCUUCCUUUCUAAGGAAGGCAUCUGCAGUACAAUGAGUGCUGACUAUGAGGAACAAUGUGGGCACAUCAGUUAAAAACAAGAUGUGGGUGACUGUAUCCCCUGGAUAUUACCAGGCAAGUGCCCAAACCCAAGAGGAUUUUAUAGAACACAGAAGCACAGGAUGAUUUGGUUGGAAGGGACCUCAAUGUUUAUUAUGUACCAACUUCUCUGCCAUGGCAGGGCUGCAAAUCAGGCAUCCGUUCAGGCUGCCCAGAGCCCCAUCCAACCUGGCCUUGGGCACCUCCAGGGAUGGAGCACCCAAGGCUUCUAUGAGCAGCCUUCACCAGAGCCUAUUCCAGAUGUGCAUUGCUGCUCCUUAUGAAAUAUGUCUUAUGAUAUCUCUCCACCCAAGCAGAAGGGGCUUCUUGGAGGCUGGGUCUGAGGAAGGUCUGUUUAUCCCUUGGGAUGUCCCCAGUGCUGCAGGGAAGAAUCACCCACGGGGUGUGAGGGGUAGAGAGGGCAUUGAGCAACGCUCCUAGCAUCAAAUGUCUCCUGUUUCAGCUGGAAAGCCACUGCCUUGCAGUGCCAGUCCUGUGGUUAGGCUGCAUCUACAUUUACUCUGCCUUUUCCGGGCAGUUUCCUCUUGCCAACAUUGCCUCUAAAUUCAGGCCAGAACUACUGUAUCACACAGCCUGUCCCACAGGACUGAGGAAGUCAUUUCACAUGUGUCAGGGUGACUCAAUCUUGUUUCUAUUUGCAGAGCAUCCAGCUCCAUCAGCUUUUUCUUGGCUCUGGAGCAGACGGACAACCGCACUGAACCUCCUGCCACACCUCCUCCAACUUACCCACCCCAUCCCUUUGUUGUCAGCAGCAGAAGGGGCAUCACAUUUCCAACAUCUCAUCACAGGUUGAACCAAUCCAGCAAAGCCAAGAAUGCUUCUGGCCCAGCUAUCUCCUUCAGACACCCAACAGCCAAGGACAAUGAGGAUAUACCUUUGCCUUUCCCCCCUUUCUCUGCAUUCUCUCUCUGCACAGCCCCAUCCCUGUGCUGCAGUUUCAUUCCCCUUUCUGUGCUGACUGCCUGCUGGAUGUGCUCGGGAAGUGAGCUGUUCUGCUUCUGAGGUUUUGCACCUCUGGCUUCUGCUUCUUGCAGCCCUUGCAGUUAUUUCCCUUCCCUUCCUGCAGGGUGGGACAAGGUAUAAAGUGCUGUGGCAUCAGCCACAAUCAUGGGCAGCAUCAGAGGUGUCCCAGCCUUGUCCACAAACCAUUCCCAGCUCUGGGCUGUGAGAGUUUGCAUCCGAUUUCCCUCAGCACCUUUUAUACCAGAACCAGCAUGUUUUUCCUCUCCUUAGUCACUCUGCAGCAUGUGAUGUGGCACGGAAGGACACGAUCAAUGGGCACGGUGGUGAUGGACUGGGGUUGGAUUUGGUGAUCUUAGAGGUCUUUUCCAACCUUUAUGUUUCUAUGAUUCUAUGAUUCUGCCCUUUAGAAUCUUGACCUCUUCUUUUGCUUUUAUCAGGACUUUGAUCUGACUUCUCUUUGGCACCAGAAAGGCAGAAAACAACAAACUCGUACGUACUUUACAUGCUGCUUUUGCUUGCUGCGUUCUCAUCUCCUGGAAGAUGUUGCAAUUGGGUUCAGCUAAGCAGGGGAUAUUGUUUCCAACAGAUGAGACUGAACACUCUUCAGUUUCCUUGAAACUUUCCAAGCAAAUGUGGCCAAAUGGUCAGCCAGUCAGUGCUCUGGAGGGCUUAGAGCAGUGGAAAUUUCAGCGAUGCUGUUGACAUCUCCAGCAGAGCUAUGUAAACAUGGCAGAGCUGAGCUUCAUUGGCUGUUUCCAAGCCAAGGCAAGGUGAUGUCUCUGCUCUGGGAAUGAAUCACAGCAAAGACCAGGGACCUUUUUGGGUUCUCAUUUCCAUCCGCCUUGGGAACAAGGGGUCAGCCACCUGCAGCACCCACAUCAGCACCCCCUUCUCUCUCCCCAGGGCAUUCUGUGGGCUGGAAACCUCUUUGGGAACUCUGUGCAGAGACAGAAUGGAGUGUGGCCAGCACUUCAACCUCUGGCAUGUCUCUUCCCAGACAGCACGUCCUGAGCACAAACCCUGACUGCCCAGCUGCAGGCAGACAUCACAGUCUGGCUUCCUCCUUCAGCUGGGGGUAAAGGUUAAGAAGCAGAUGGGUUGUUUUGUAAUCUUGUUACAGUAAUGACUCCAUCACAUAAACGAUCACUUGCUACUUCUUUUCCAGCAAUUCUUCAAAGAAACUGCAUCCAGAUAUUCUGCCUGCGACGUUUAAUUACUGCAGCUCCUCUUACUUAGAGAUGCUGAAAACAGCUGGCUGCCUGUCAGAAUCACCCCACCUCAACUCCUAGACCAGCCCACAGCUGGUCCCAUCUCCCAGGACUGUUAUUUUCUCCUGAUAAUCCAUGAGAAACACGAGGGCUCUUUGAAAGCUGUACUCGCAUGCUCACCUGGUGUGCUUAGGCCAUAGGAAGAAGGAAGGGGUAAUUUAGAGAGGGGCUGUGGCUCCAGCCCGGUGCCAUGCUGCCUUUAAGCACUGUGCUUCAGAAGGCACUCAUUUUGCAUUGUCUCUGUGUUUCCACGUGUCUGAUAAGGGAACCUGCUCUCAUGUGGCAGCACGUGGAGUCUGGGGUGCUGACAAACGCUGUUAUGCCUCCAUUUCUCCAGGGAAGGAAGAAUAAAACAGACAAUUUCUGAUUUAUCAGAUCGCUUCAGAGGAUUCAACAGUGCACGAUGUGAAAAUAAUCUCAGUGAAAAUAAUAGCAGGCCUCCUCGUUUUAAAUAUGCAAUUGUCCUUCAGAUUUUGAGAAGCUCAAAAUACUUGUCCCUGAGUGAUCUCCUUAUCAGUCAUUGCUUCAGACACAUCCAUCUAAGUUCCCCAAAACUCCCUUCUGAAACAGGUCUGCUUUUCCUUAUGGGCAAAACCCUGAUUUUUUCCCUGUGCUUUCUCCUGCAAGGUCAGCCCUGAGGAUUUAAAUCACUUCUCGAUUUGAAAAGAGCACGGACAUUACACCAGCGGGUAUGGACAUCACUGGGGCAAGGACACUAUAGUUUGACUGCAUUGGAGUUUUCUGCUUUAAGUCUAUGAAUACAUCAGAGAAAGCCUGUACAGAUAGAAGAAGGAGAAAGUCUAUGGGAGAGGGAUCCCAGACAUUUCAGAAGGCUACGGAGAGCACCUGGGCACUCUUUGAGGACUUUGCCAAAGGCUUUCUCUGCUCCCCAUCCAUGGGAAGAAUUGACAGUGGUGACUACAGGGUGAGUGAGAUGUCAUUCUGCUGUCUGAGCCUGCUGGCAUGCUUCUGAAAUUCCUUCUGUGUGGAAAGUCUGUGCUGUGGAAGAGAGCAGCCUCGGUCCUUGGAGCAUGGAUUCUUCCAGAGAACUGCCAUGGAACUCGCAGAGAACUCUGGGACUGCAUGACCUCGAGUGCAUAGGGAAAGAAGAGGGAAAUACUACCUAUUUGCUGAACAGCCAGGUGGGAAAGACUGAAAAAGGGAAAAGGCAAGCAAACCAGCAAUAUGCUGGCUGAUCUUUCUUCUCUCUCUGUUUCUCAGAUCAGGGACUAAUGGCGUAUAAAGACGAGGGAAGGAGGGCAGGAUGAAACGAUUUAUGUUCUUGGUGGUGUUUCUUAUCAGAGACCGGGAGCUGUCUGAGGCUGUCAUCUAGUCCUGAUCUCUCUGAUUCAAGAGGGCCCUGGUAGGGAGCUCUCUCAUCACUGGAGGAUGGUUUCAUAUGGUGCAGUCUCUGAGUUAUCAGCACCCAUGCUAAUUCCUGUGGCUCCAGAACUGCUCUGGCAGCAAAGAAGGGCCACAGAUCAGACCCUGUAUCUAAAUGGGAAGGAGACUUCUGAGGAGGUUUCUUUAAUGUGACACACGUUGCUGUAUGACAAACAACAGGAAACAUGAAUGUUGUCACAGAUUUGUAAUGUUCCAAAGCCUCAGCCAAGAAGGAGAGACUGAUCUCACACAUCCUGUGCCCCAGGUGAGCAGUGCUGCCCCGGCUCAAGGGCUUUCCUCAUCCUCAGGUUGAAACUGAUACAGCAGGCAGGGAGUGUGAGGAAUCUGCCUCAGGAGAUGGGAAGAACAGAAGGAGCAAACAACCCCCAACUUGUUUACAGAGCCAUUAUUCUGUUCACAGGCUUCUCAGCUGUGAGUUUAUUCCUAAAAGUCAUAGGUGUGGAAGCACUUUGUCAAAGCAUUGAUGCAGCAAAUGUGGACGCAGGAGGACAGGAAGGCAAUUUAGCAGUGCUGAGUGCAGGUGGAAGCAGUGUGGGCUGCCUGGUUGCACUGAGGGCACUCACAUAUGCUCACAGCACGUGUGCCAUCCCUGAGGGUUUUUCAGCAAGAACAGAGCAGGUGCUGCUAGAGCAGGGCAGUCAGCCUUGUCACUUAGGAAAUUCACCCUGUGACAGUAUGAGACAAGAAAAAUCCUUGUGGCAGCUGCGCCAGCAAGCUUCUCUAUCCAACAUCAUUGCUGGAAAAAGUGGGGUUUUUUUUUUCCUCAACUACCAUUUGAGAACUUUCUGCAAGAAUAAACUAAACCUACUUGAAGGAGCUGUGUUGUCAUUGCUACAUUCGCAGCCUUAAAGCACGAUCCCAGCGGUGCCCCACUGAAGCAAGAAAGCAAUUCCGCAGAAAACUAUGCUUGCCAAAAAAAUGAUUUGUUCAAAGCACUUGGCUUCGAAUAGAUGCAUAAAUGCUUCCCUGAAAUUUGGAUUGUAAUUGAGGAGCAAUAUGCUCGACAGAACAUGCCUAAUGAACAGGCAUCAAAAUUUACGACCGUAGAGGGGUAGCAGUAAUGGGUUAUGCAGGAGAUCAGUCCUACUUUUCUAGUCAAAGUGAGAACUGCCAGCAGCCUGUGCUAAAGAAGAAGUCUUUUUUCAAUCUCACCUCCUCUUUUAACAUCCUUCAUCAAAGAAGCAUACAGGCAUGACCUCCAAAUGUAAACUAAUGAGAUGUCAGCACACGUACGGUGGUGGUAGCAGAGCAGAACUGUGUAGUUUCAGUGGAUCUAGAGGUCUGCACAAACAUGGGAGUUUUCCAAAUGCUGUAAUGCCUUUUCUACCUACUCGCCGGAUAAUUCUGUAGCAAAGAGGAACAGUCCCACCGCUACAGCAAAAAGUUGUUUCAUAUCUCCUUGUUUUUGUACUAGAGAUUCCCCUGAUUUACAUGAAGAAAAGGAAGUGGGGUAUCUGCAAGAAGUGAAGUCAUCUUGCUAGAGGGUUAGGGCUGGAGCAGCCCUUGCCAUAUCUUUGGAAGGAUACAAUUUUUCAUGCUUUGUUUUUAGGAACUGUCAAGAGAAAGGAAGCGUAGUGAGCAAAGAGCUAUUUUGAGUGAUAAUCAUGCUCUGGCAGUGGCUUGCAUGGUUACAUCUUAAUAGAUCUCUUCCACUUUGGUCUCUACAUGCACAGCUGUGCCUCUGUAUCCUGCU